UGGGUCUUAUGGGAUAGCAUGUAAUGGGUAGUGAUGAACCUCUGAAUUUGACUCUGAUUGAAAUGAUAUGUGAUGAAUUUGUGAAAUAUUGAUGAAUGAAAUUGGAUGAUAAUUGAUGAAAUUGUAGGAAUUAGAUGUAGUAAGGUUAGCGAUUUGAGAAGUUGAAUGUAUCUGAGUUGUAAUUGAUAACACGAACGAACGUGUAUGAAAAAUUGGACUGUGAGAGGUUGGAUCCGAAG
rnacentral:lncRNA from 1 species